AUACUUACCUGGCAGGGGAGAUACCAUGAUCAUGAAGGUGGUUUUAACAGGGCGAGGCUUAUCCUUUGCACUCCGGAUGUGCUGACCCCUGCGAUUUCCCCAAAUGUGGGAAACUCGACUGCAUAAUUUGUGGUAGUGGGGAAAAAAAAAAAAAAAAAAAGAAACAACUUCCCAUCCCCC
rnacentral:snRNA from 1 species